CUGCCCUCAAGCCCGGCUUGUGUGUUGGGCCAACGUCCCCCUGGGGACGGGCCCGAAAGGCAGCGGCGGCACCGCGUCCGGUCCUCGAGCGUAUGGGGCUUUGUCACCCGCUCUGGAGGCCUGGCCGGCGCCAGCCGACCUCUUCAAUCUUCUCCAGG
rnacentral:misc_RNA from 1 species